UACACUGCAGAACAACUCCUGCUUCCAAGAACAGUUUCUGAGGACUAUGGAAUUCAGUAAUAAACCAGCAUCCCAUGGAUAAAUACUGUUUGACUCAUCACAUAUGAUCACCAAAUCAACGGCUGAAGAACAGUCUGAAAAGAAGAGGGUAGAAAUCAUGUUUCUCUAACAAUUCUCUCCUUUGAAACCUGUGCCACUUGGUGUUAAAACAUUUACAGAGUUAAAUUAAAACUGCAUGGAAACGA